rnacentral:misc_RNA from 1 species
AGUCGUAACAUGGUAUCCAUACCGGAAGGAGGCGAUGGAUCACCUCCUUUCUAUGGAAUUUAGUUUCUCAUGUGAAACUAAGACAACAAGAGAAGUAAUAUGGAUGAUCUUCUGGAUUACUUCUUUUGUUCUGUUGAGUUUUCAGGAAUUGUUUUCUCUGAGCAAUUGUUCUUUAAAAACUGGAUCAUUGACAUCUUUUAAAAAAAAUAAGAUAAUUUUUAUCUUGCAAUACGAGCCUUUGGCAAUAAAUUAUCAAGAGCGUAUGGUGGAUGGCUUGGAAUA